rnacentral:rRNA from 1 species
CCGCGUGAACGAUGAAGGCUUUCGGGUCGUAAAGUUCUGUCCUAGGGGACGAUAAUGACGGUACCCUAAGAGGAAGCCCCGGCUAACUACGUGCCAGCAGCCGCGGUAAUACGUAGGGGGCGAGCGUUGUCCGGAUUUAUUGGGCGUAAAGGGUUCGCAGGCGGUCUCUUAAGUUAGAUGUGAAAGAUCACGGCUCAACCGUGGUAAGCAUUUCAAACUGGGAGACUUGAGUUAAGGAGAGGAAAGUGGAAUUCCUAGUGUAGCGGUGAAAUGCGUAGAUAUUAGGAGGAAUACCAAUGGCGAAGGCGACUUUCUGGACUUAUACUGACGCUGAGGAACGAAAGCGUGGGGAGCAAACAGGAUUAGAUACCCUGGUAGUCCACGCCGUAAACGAUGAGUGCUAGGUGUCGGGGGUCAAACCUCGGUGCCGCAGCUAACGCAUUAAGCACUCCGCCUGGGGAGUACGUACGCAAGUAUGAAACUCAAAGGAAUUGUACGGG